rnacentral:rRNA from 1 species
AACGGCGAGUGAAGCGGCAAGAGCUCAAAUUUGAAAUCUGGCCCCUUUGGGGUCCGAGUUGUAAUUUGCAGAGGAUGCUUCGGGUGCGGUCCCCAUCUAAGUGCCCUGGAACGGGCCGUCAUAGAGGGUGAGAAUCCCGUCUGGGAUGGGCGGCCGCGCCCGUGUGAAGCUCCUUCGACGAGUCGAGUUGUUUGGGAAUGCAGCUCUAAGCGGGUGGUAAAUUUCAUCUAAAGCUAAAUACUGGCCGGAGACCGAUAGCGCACAAGUAGAGUGAUCGAAAGAUGAAAAGCACUUUGAAAAGAGAGUUAAACAGCACGUGAAAUUGUUGAAAGGGAAGCGUUGUCCACCAGACUCGCCCGGGGGGGUUCAGCCGGCACGUGUGCCGGUGUACUCCUCUCCGGGCGGGCCAGCAUCGGUUUGGGCGGCUGGUGAAAGGCCCCGGGAAUGUAACACCCUUCGGGGUGCCUUAUAGCCCGGGGUGCCAUACAGCCAGCCUGGACCGAGGCCCGCGCUUCGGCGAGGAUGCUGGCGUAAUGGUGGUCAACGGCCCGUCUUGAAACACGGACCAAGGAGUCUAACAUCUAUGCGAGUGUUCGGGUGUCAAACCCGUCCGCGCAGUGAAAGCGAACGGAGGUGGGAGCCCCUCGGGGCGCACCAUCGACCGAUCCUGAUGUCUUCGGAUGGAUUUGAGUAAGAGCAUAGCUGUUGGGACCCGAAAGAUGGUGAACUAUGCCUGAAUAGGGCGAAGCCAGAGGAAACUCUGGUGGAGGCUCGCAGCGGUUCUGACGUGCAAAUCGAUCGUCAAAUUUGGGUAUAGGGGCGAAAGACUAAUCGAACCAUCUGGUAGCUGGUUCCUGCCGAAGUUUCCCUCAGGAUAGCAGUAACGACAUCAGUUUUAUGAGGUAAAGCGAAUGAUUAGAGGCCUUGGGGUUGAAACAACCUUAACCUAUUCUCAAACUUUAAAUAUGUAAGAAGCCCUUGUUGCUUAGUUGAACGUGGGCGUUAGAAUGAAACGUUACUAGUGGGCCAUUUUUGGUAAGCAGAACUGGCGAUGCGGGAUGAACCGAACGCGAGGUUAAGGUGCCGGAAUGCACGCUCAUCAGACACCACAAAAGGUGUUAGUUCAUCUAGACAGCC